rnacentral:rRNA from 1 species
AUGGAGUCGCCGCCGCACAAGCUCAAUGUCGGCCGGGACGAGGAUCGAAUCAGCGCGCUCACCGACGACCUCCUCGUCGGAAUCCUCGAGCGCCUCGACCUGCGCGAGGCGGUCCGCGCCAGUGCACUCUCGUCGCGGUGGCGUCACCUCCCCUACCGGCUAUCGCGCCUGCACCUCGAGGUCGGUCACUUCCAAGGCGCCACGCCGCUCGAGGUCAUGGACGCUUUCACGGGCGCGGCACAGAGGUUGCUCUCUCUGGUGGUUCCUCUGGCCGAGGGCGAGGGCGGCAGUGCUGCCAUCAUUCCCAUCAAAGCCCUCAUCCUCAGCUUUUACAUGUCACCCCCUCACCUGAGCGCCAUAGGCCGCACCGUCGAGGACGCUGUGAGCUACGGCAAGACCGAAUGCCUUGAGUUCUCCAUAUCCCCGCCGCGAGGGAGCAACGCCAGCCUGCUUGCUGAAUUCGGGCAGCAGUUCAUGUCCUUCUCCCAGGCCUACCCGGUCGCCUUCUGGUGGCUCACGAGGCUUACACUCAAGAACCUUGUGUUUGGACAUUCCGACGUCACCGAACUUAUUAACGCUUGCAAUAAGCUCAAGCACCUCACCCUGAGUUCCUGCAGACUGGUUGAUCAGCGGUCGGCGCUCAGGAUUGAUACCCCAUGCUCGGGGCUUCGGAGGCUCGACUGCAUCCGUUUUCGUUGUGAACGGAUCGAACUCAUCUCCGUCCCCGAGCUCAGGACAGUACUGUGCUGUUCUCGGCACUACGAGAACCCUCCAGUGCGCUUCGGCGACGUUCCCCAGCUUUGCCAUGUGAACCUUGGUUAUCUUGCCAAGGUGUCGCAAGCGCCAUUCAUGUUGAGUGAGUGCCUUUCAAGGAGUUCCAGGAAUCUGUCAAAACUGAAUCUCAAUUUCUUCAGCCAAACGGUAAAGUUAAUUUCCGUGCAUUUACACAUCACCCGCUCUUCUAUUCUACCAAUUUCAGCUGUGUAUUUUGUGUUCUUCAUGUUGCAGAUUUGGAUUCAGCCGGAGCAGCCGAAGCGGCUCACUGCUAUAUUCAGAAACCUGACCGACAUGUAUCUUUUUGGUAUCUUCCCUGAGUGUGAUCUGAGCUGGACCCUGUUUAUCCUAGAAGCUGCACCUGCCCUACGGAAUUUCAAGUUAUCUCGAACUCGACAUGCAUGUGGCAAAAAGCUUUACGAUACUGCCGAAAAGACGAAUGUGGUGUGGGAGCCAUCGAAGGAUCUGAAGCAUCUUAACUUGAAGUUGCUGAUGAUGUUAGGGUUCGAGGAGGAGGUCAAGGUGACAAACUAUAUAAGGCUAGUCAUGGCACAUGUUGUGAGGUUGAAGAGAAUCGAGCUUCAUGGUGAGGACCCAUGCAAGGAGUGCAAUGCCAUUGACCCGAGGAGAUCCCAGGUGGAUGAAGCUAGCAGGCGUCAGAUUAAGGAGCGACUCACACUUGAAUCUUCCUCGUCUGCGAAGAUAAUAAUUUGUUGA